GAUGAACGCUGGCGGCGUGCCUAAUACAUGCAAGUCGAGCGAACAGACGAGGAGCUUGCUCCUCUGACGUUAGCGGCGGACGGGUGAGUAACACGUGGAUAACCUACCUAUAAGACUGGGAUAACUUCGGGAAACCGGAGCUAAUACCGGAUAAUAUAUUGAACCGCAUGGUUCAAUAGUGAAAGACGGUUUUGCUGUCACUUAUAGAUGGAUCCGCGCCGCAUUAGCUAGUUGGUAAGGUAACGGCUUACCAAGGCAACGAUGCGUAGCCGACCUGAGAGGGUGAUCGGCCACACGGGAACUGAGACACGGUCCAGACGCCUACGGGAGGCAGCAGUAGGGAAUCUUCCGCAAUGGGCGAAAGCCUGACGGAGCAACGCCGCGUGAGUGAUGAAGGUCUUCGGAUCGUAAAACUCUGUUAUUAGGGAAGAACAAAUGUGUAAGUAACUAUGCACGUCUUGACGGUACCUAAUCAGAAAGCCACGGCUAACUACGUG
rnacentral:rRNA from 1 species